UAAAAUGUUUUUUUGAUUUUCAGCCAAUCAGAAAGCAGCACGACUCAAAUAGAACUCCCGUGAGGUCACACAUGUGAUGUCAUCACCACUGUCAUCAGUCAGGGGCCUAAACUGUAGGAACCUAGGAAUGCAACUUCAUACCCGCCUGUGACUGAUGCACACUUUCCAGGCUGUGGGGCAGCACAUACACUGACACAUUGGCCCAAAUUCUAGAGGUAACCUCCUUUAGUAUGCCCAGAGGAAGGGCAGUACAGUAGCCAUGGAUUCCCUACAGGUUUCCUCCCCUCUGGAGGUUUUUCCUGUCCUGAGUUAGUUACUGUCCGCUCUUUGUGAGUGAUGGAGGUUACAUAAAAU